rnacentral:rRNA from 1 species
AGAGUUUGAUCAUGGCUCAGGAUGAACGUUGGCGGUGUGCCUAAUACAUGCAAGUCGAACGGAGUUAAUAGCAAUAUUGACUUAGUGGCGAACGGGUGAGUAACGCGUUGGUGAUCUGCCUCGAAGUGUGGAAUAACGUUCCGAAAGGAACGCUAAUACCGCAUGUGCUCUCGAUUUUUAGAAAGUUGAGAGUAAAGGAUUUAUUCGCUUCGAGAGGAGCCUGCGUCCCAUCAGCUGGUUGGUAGGGUAACGGCCUACCAAGGCUAUGACGGGUAGGGGACCUGAGAGGGUGGCCCCCCACAAUGGAACUGAAACACGGUCCAUACACCUACGGGUGGCAGCAGUAGGGAAUAUUAGAAAUGGACGAAAGUCUGAUCUAGCAACACCGCGUGUGCGAAGAAGGCCUUCGGGUCGUAAAGCACUUUUUGGAAGGAAUAGGAAGGAAUGUACUUCCAGAAUAAGUCUCGGCUAACUACGUGCCAGCAGCCGCGGUAACACGUAGGAGGCGAACGUUAUCCGGAUUUACUGGGCGUAAAGCGCGUGUAGGUGGUACUGUAGGUAGGGCGUGAAAGCUCCCGGCUCAACUGGGAGAGGCCGUUCUAAACUACAGAACUAGAGGAUGGUAGAGGGAGGUGGAAUUCCAGGUGUAGCGGUGGAAUGCGCAGAUAUCUGGAGGAACACCGGUGGCGAAGGCGGCCUCCUGGACCAUUCCUGACACUCAGACGCGAAAGCUAGGGUAGCAAACGGGAUUAGAGACCCCGGUAGUCCUAGCCCUAAACGAUGUAGACUAGGCGUCGGUGGUUUAAUCACCAUCGGUGUCCAAGCUAACGCGAUAAGUCUACCGCCUGGGGACUACGGCCGCAAGGUUAAAACUCAAAUGAAUUGACGG